UACGGAAGGCAGCAGUGGGGAAUAUUGCACAAUGGGCGCAAGCCUGAUGCAGCCAUGCCGCGUGUAUGAAGAAGGCCUUCGGGUUGUAAAGUACUUUCAGUCGUGAGGAAGGUGUUAAGGUUAAUAACCUUAGCAAUUGACGUUAGCGACAGAAGAAGCACCGGCUAACUCCGUGCCAGCAGCCGCGGUAAUACGGAGGGUGCGAGCGUUAAUCGGAAUUACUGGGCGUAAAGGGCACGUAGGCGGUUAAUUAAGUUGGAUGUGAAAUCCCCGGGCUUAACCUGGGAAUGGCAUUCAAGACUGGUUAGCUAGAGUCUUGUAGAGGGGGUAGAAUUCCAUGUGUAGCGGUGAAAUGCGUAGAGAUGUGGAGGAAUACCGGUGGCGAAGGCGGCCCCUGGACAAAGACUGACGCUCAUGUGCGAAAGCGUGGGGAGCAAACGAGGAUUAGAUACC
rnacentral:rRNA from 1 species